GAAGAGAGAGUUCAAGAGUACGUGAAACCAUUAGAAGCUCAAACGGGUGGAACCGUGAAGGUCGAAAGAGGGGAUUCAGCUGGCGGGGCGUGGGCGGCAGCGACGGUUCAAGUUGCAUUUCAGUGAGAGGACCCGGCGAUGGAGUUAGUUGCGCGGCCCCGUCGCUGUCAUGCCAUGACCCGCGGGCUUAUUUCUCCCUUGAGUAGAGUUGGUCGCUACCCGCUGCUUAGGCUCCGAGGGCCGUCCGGGACUGGUAGCCUGCGCCUUGGCACGGGUGAUGACCCGGUACGGUGCUGACCGGGCCCGAGUGGCGGUCAGUGCAGGGAGGCCGCGGAGAGAAGAAUGCGGCCUCUCGCGACUUGAGAGUGAUUGGUAAUCCACCCGACCCGUCUUGAAACACGGACCAAGGAGUCCAACAUGUGCGCGAGUCUAAGGGUGAUCUAAACCCGGAGGCGAAAUGAAAGUGAGCUCUGUGUUGGGCAGGCCGAUCCCCUGUCUGCCGAGGCCCGUCGGGCCAGCUAGGUUGAGAGAAUAUCCUUGGCUGGUACCGGCGGGUCUUCGGACCUGCGGGAGUUGGGGCGCAGGCCGAGAACUUGGCGUUGUGCGGCCCGGGGUACGGGGGGCUCUCGGGCUCCCUCAACCCGUGGUCCGCCGCCAAGUACCUGAGAGCGCAGCCGUUGGGACCCGAAAGAUGGUGAACUAUGCCUGGCGAGGACGAAGCCAGAGGAAGCUCUGGUGGAGGUCCGAAGCAGUUCUGACGUGCAAAUCGAUUGUCAGAGCUGGGUAUAGGGGCGAAAGACUAAUCGAACCAUCUAGUAGCUGGUUCCCUCCGAAGUUUCCCUCAGGAUAGCUGGCAUUCGGAGAGGUGAGUUUCAUCCGGUAAAGCGAAUGAUUAGAGGCCUUGGUGGUGCAAUGCCGUCAACCUAUUCUCAAACUUUAAAUGGGUGAGACGUGGAGCUUGCUUGAGAUGUGAAGCUCUAUGAUGCAAAGAAUCAGAGUGCCUAGUGGGCCACUUUUGGUAAGCAGAACUGGCGCUG
rnacentral:rRNA from 1 species